CCCAGAGGUAUUGAUGGGUGACAAUCGAUGUGUUCUCCACAUUGAACCAUUCAAAUUUCACCAACCUACGCGGAUGCGUAGGUUUUUUUU
rnacentral:sRNA from 1 species